AUCUUCGCAAAGAAUUUUGGUGAGCAAUUUUCAUAAUAGAAAUAGCUCUUAAAAGGGAAUUCGGUUAAAAACCGAAGCUGUUCCCGCAACUGUAAGUCGUCCCGAAUAUUUUGGGCGUGCAUUCUUCAAAACCACUGCUUCAUCGCGGGAAGGUCGUACAAAAGACAAGCCAGGAGACCUGCCAGAUUCAUAACAUAAAA
rnacentral:ncRNA from 2 species